CGGGAUGUAGCGCAGCUUGGUAGCGCACCGCGUUCGGGACGCGGGGGUCGUAGGUUCAAAUCCUAUCAUCCCGA
rnacentral:tRNA from 1 species